AAAAUCUAGUUAGAAUGUGAAUAUUAAAG
rnacentral:piRNA from 1 species